AACAUUAGGGAAAUGGUCUGGCUCAUCCUUAUCCAGAAAUGGUUGUACGCGUCUGAGUAUAUUCCCAUACUUCUCAUCAAAACUAAUUGCAGUUCCUCACUGCUCAUUACUACUGAUGACUGCUUAAGAUUGCUAAUUACCGUUAAAACAACAACACUGACGGCCAGUCUCAUUGUCUCCAGGCCGGUGUGGUGUCUGUCUCUGGUGGCGUUGUCGCUGUAAUCAAGAUUAGUUCACUAGAAAUAAGAGACACCCGCUAUCAUGUCCUGGUCUUGCAAGAAGUGUGAUUGUGAAAGGACUGACAGACACUUGUGAACAUGAACUCGGUGGAUAACAAUUAAAAGUCUUUAUUCAUUUGAAAGUCGCGACCUGUUCACUUCUUGUCGUUUAAUCAUUCAGAGACCAAAUUAGCAACAGAAUCAAAAUCGUCUCCUGAGGAGAGUAGAAGGUAACUGUGAGAAAAAUGACAAAGUCACACGAGAAUGUGUUUUAUUAUUUGGGUAACCAACUGGGCAGGUCACGUGAGGUUCGUCAUUCUCAGAUCUUGGAGACAUGUUGACAGCUGCUCUGGCAAAAUAACGGUUUGAAGGGAGGUCUGUACACGACUUAGUAUGACACAGUCUGUGUGUGAAUUCAUAAACAAAUACAA